UACGGAGGGUGCGAGCGUUGUCCGGAAUCAUUGGGCGUAAAGGGCGCGUAGGUGGCCCGGUCAGUUCGUGGUGAAAGCGCGGGGCUCAACCCUGCGUCGGCCAUGAAUACUGCCGCGGCUGGAGCACUGUAGAGGCAGGCGGAAUUCCGGGUGUAGCGGUGGAAUGCGCAGAUAUCAGGAGGAACACCGGUGGCGAAGGCGGAUCUCUGGGCCAUUACUGACGCUGAGGAGCGAAAGCGUGGGGAGCGAACAGG
rnacentral:rRNA from 1 species